rnacentral:tRNA from 1 species
GCAUACUGGGGAUAGCUCAGUUGGUAGAGCACGAGACUCUUAAUCUCAGGGUUGUGGGUUCAGGUUCCACACUGGGCA